UGAGGAAUAUUGGACAAUGGGCGCAAGCCUGAUCCAGCCAUGCCGCGUGCAGGAUGACGGUCCUAUGGAUUGUAAACUGCUUUUGUACGGGAAGAAACACUCCUACGUGUAGGAGCUUGACGGUACCGUAAGAAUAAGGAUCGGCUUACAUUCCUUGC
rnacentral:rRNA from 1 species